CCCAUGGCUCUGAGACGAACUGCCUGCCUCUCGCCCCAGCCCCUGACCCCAAGGCUGCUUCUCUGGGAAGCCAAGACAAAUGGAAGAGAAAAGGAGACAAGCUACGUCCUCCCUCAUUCCUCUCCUACUCCUGCCAGAGAGGCCAGCAGAUCAAGGAAGGGACAGCAGAUUCAAGCUAGUUCCAAGCUUAACGCGAAGCGUAUAGGGGAGUGCUAGCCAUCCUUUCCCACCACUCCAAGGUGGCUCAAUUCAACUGAGCAGCAAGAAGGACAGAAUCCCAUGGAAAGAAGCCCAAGUUCUACCAGGAAGACAAUACCAGUUCUGGCAAAUCUGCAGGAUGGGGCAAGGACAAAAAUAAGAAGACCACUUGGUGGCUGGGAGAGCUGAUAGCAGGACGGAAAGGGGUGUGAGGCUAGGAUGAGUGAGUCAGGACUGAGGC
rnacentral:lncRNA from 1 species